GUCUACUCAGACUGGUCUGUGCUCUUGGCUAUAACAGGCGAUGAAAUUAUACAAUGUAUCAAAAUUGCUCGCUUUGCGCACUGCUCCAUUGUAACAAAUGUACACAUCUAACAACAGAAGGCCCAUCAGGGUCUGAGUCUGCAUCCCCGCUGACUGAGAAGCAGGUGAGUGAGGGCUGGUAGGGAAGUCUGAGAGAAGCAGCUGAGUGAGGGCUGGUAGGGAAGGCUGAGAGAAGCAGCUGAAUGAGGGCUGGUAGGGAAGUCUGAGAGAAGCAGCUGAGUGAGGGCUGGUAGGGAAGGCUGAGAGAAGCAGCUGAAUGAGUGCUGGUAGGGAAGGCUGAGAGAAGCAGCUGAAUGAGUGCUGGUAGGGAAGUCUGAGAGAAGCAGCUGAGUGAGGGCUGGUAGGGGAUUGUCACGACUUCUGCCGAAGGUGGUCCCUCUCCUUGUUCGGGCGGCGGUCGUCGUCACCGGUUUUCUAGUUGCCAGCGAUCCACGUUUUCUUUUUCCAUUUGUUUUGUCUUCGUUGUACACACCUGAUUUCCAUUUGUUUUGUCUUCGUUGUACACACCUGAUUUCCAUUUGUUUUGUCUUCGUUGUACACACCUGAUUUCCAUUUCUUAGUUAUUUGUCCCUAUUUAACCCUCUGGUUUCCCCAUUGGUUUUGUGCGUGUUUGUUGCGUGUUAAGCUGUCGCGUUUGUUUGUGAGUUUAGUUGAGUUUGUUUCCCUACGUGGAAUAUUUUGUUGUUUUGUUGAGUAAAGACCUUUAUUACUCAUUCCCGGUGUCCUGCGCCUGACUUCGUCCCACCUGCUGCACAUUGACUCUUGACAGGGAUGCUGAGAGAAGCAGGUGAGUGAGGGCUGGUAGGGAAUACUGAGAGAAGCAGGUGAGUGAGGGCUGGUUGGGAAUACUGAGAGAAGCAGGUUAGUGAGGGCUGGUAGGGAAUACUGAGAGAAGCAGGUGAGUGAGGGCUGGUAGGGAAUACUGAGAGAAGCAGGUGAGUGAGGGCUGGUAAGGGAUAUAGCUGGCUGAUUACAGCUGCCA
ensembl:lncRNA